GUCUUGGUAGCUCAGUUGGUUAGAGCAUGGUGCUGAUAAUGCCAAGGUUGAAGGUUUGAUGCCCUUAUGGGACA